CACUGGGGACCCCUCCCAUGCUCUGGGCCUCCCAUGCUCCAGGCCUCCCAUGCUAGGCACACGGCCCAGGGGUGCAGGAGGCAGAGCCCACUCUGAAUGGUUGUCACUGCUCCCCUCCCCAACUCUACAUCCGCUGCCCAACUCUGCUGGGUCCACACCAGGCACAGGGCCCGCACAGAGGCUGCGUCCCAUCACUACCACCAGUGUGUUGGGACAGGAAGCCCAGUGCCCAUAGAGCGUCGAGGGAACCUAAGCUCAGAAAGUCUCCUACGGAAGGCAGCACACAGACAGACACCGGUCAGAGUGGGAAGCUGGUUGCUAAGGGGUAUGGUGGUGGGGCCUGCCUGGCUCCUGAGGAUGAAGGGGCGUCCGUGGCCAGGCAGCAGUGAGAACUCCACCCUGGGGAGCCACAGAGGGCGCUACGCAGCAGAGAAGCACAGUUCUCAGAGGCCCGGGAGGUGGGGAGGAGAGGGCUCCAGGGCCCAGGGCCUGGGAUCCAGCCCCGUCCCAACCUCCUGUUGGGAGCC
rnacentral:lncRNA from 1 species